rnacentral:other from 1 species
AAUUCCAGCGAGAGGAGGAGGGAGCGAGCGGGCGGCCCUCCAGGGUGGAAGAGCGAGCAGCCUAGCGACGGAGUCGCGCCUCCGGGCGCCGGGAAGGGAGAUCCGGAGUCAAGGGGGCUUCUGCGCCUCCAGCCAGGGCCGGCCCCACCCACCUCCCGCGGACCCCUGCUAGCGGUCCGCCACCCGCGCCGCAUCCGCGAAACUUUGCCCACUGGAACUUACAACACCCGAGCGACACCAAGACUCCCCGGACGCAGAGAAGCUCUUCUGCCUUUUUGGGGAGACACUUUCCCUCGCCGC